UUUCUUCCUCCAUCCUUCUUCCCCGUCGAAGACACCCUUCUCCUUGGCGUUCCUGAGAGAUAUCUCUGACUCGGCAAGGUGUUGCACGAGUUCUUGGUCGGAGUAAUGGAAGAGAAGGUCGUCGUGGAUGAGGGGCUGCCGGGGAACUACACAGAACAGGUGGAUGAGAGCCUCGGCUUGGUGGCCCACGUGGCGGCGAACGACUUCACGGCCAGUUGAAGGGUCGAAGAUGGCGAGGUUGACGUAG
rnacentral:lncRNA from 1 species